rnacentral:lncRNA from 1 species
CAGUAGUGUGAGGAGGUGUCCUGCCAGCCUGCUUUGCUCAGUGGAAGUCAAGGCACCUGCUGCAGACAAAAUGUGCCACUGAUUUGCAAUUCAAAGCUUCAUCCCUCAGUGACCACGGACUGGUGGUGGUGAUGACCUGAAUGAUGACGUAUUGCAGAACUGUUGCCUUUGGAGGAGCUGGAAAUAGGUUUUGAGCUCACCCUGGAAUUCAGAAGCAUUUUGGAAAAGGGUGUUGAUGUAGGACUGUCAAUACUGCGGGUAUCUUUGCAACUAUGGUCAGCCAGUUCUCCAGAACCUGCUGCAGGCAGACUGCUGGCAAUCCUGAGUUAGGUGAGAGACAGCUGAAUCAUGCGCGCUCUGCAGUGUGGUUGAUGGAGCUAUAGAUAUUGACCUUGAAGUCAGACACAGUUCUGCCGGUCUUUCUAUGACACAUAGGGGAAAAGGAGUUCAAGAACAU